rnacentral:rRNA from 1 species
GACGAACGCUGGCGGCGUGCCUAAUACAUGCAAGUAGAACGCUGAAGAGAGGAGCUUGCUCUUCUUGGAAGAGUUGCGAACGGGUGAGUAACGCGUAGGUAACCUGCCUUGUAGCGGGGGAUAACUAUUGGAAACGAUAGCUAAUACCGCAUAACAAUGGGUGACCCAUGUCAUUCAUUUGAAAGGGGCAACUGCUCCACUACAAGAUGGACCUGCGUUGUAUUAGCUAGUAGGUGAGGUAACGGCUCACCUAGGCGACGAUACAUAGCCGACCUGAGAGGGUGAUCGGCCACACUGGGACUGAGACACGGCCCAGACUCCUACGGGAGGCAGCAGUAGGGAAUCUUCGGCAAUGGGGGCAACCCUGACCGAGCAACGCCGCGUGAGUGAAGAAGGUUUUCGGAUCGUAAAGCUCUGUUGUAAGUCAAGAACGAGUGUGAGAGUGGAAAGUUCACACUGUGACGGUAGCUUACCAGAAAGGGACGGCUAACUACGUGCCAGCAGCCGCGGUAAUACGUAGGUCCCGAGCGUUGUCCGGAUUUAUUGGGCGUAAAGCGAGCGCAGGCGGUUUGAUAAGUCUGAAGUUAAAGGCUGUGGCUCAACCAUAGUUCGCUUUGGAAACUGUCAAACUUGAGUGCAGAAGGGGAGAGUGGAAUUCCAUGUGUAGCGGUGGAAUGCGUAGAUAUAUGGAGGAACACCGGUGGCGAAAGCGGCUCUCUGGUCUGUAACUGACGCUGAGGCUCGAAAGCGUGGGGAGCGAACAGG